rnacentral:lncRNA from 1 species
UGUAGAAGUGGGUAUUAUUUUUGUUAAUAUCAUUAAUUGUUGCUUGUCAAGAGGAAUUUGGAUCAAAUUGAAGUUGUCUAAAUAAAUCUGUUAGUUGGGGAUUAGAUUUGGGUGGUUUGUUUUGUUUUGUUUUGUUUAUAACGAUUUUUAUUUUAUUUUAUUUUAUUAUUUGUCAUAAUUUUGUUUCCUAAAAAAAAUUUGUUCCACGUUCUUUUGUUUUUCCCCACUUCCCUUAUUCUAUUUUCUUUAUUUUCUUUUGGGGUUUCUAGCUACCAUUCUUUCCCAAACAAAAAUUCAAGUUUAAUCUUGAUCUUUUGUUCUUCAACUUGUCCAUACUCCUCUGUUCA